AAUUAUAUUUGAGCAGGAGAUAUUCAUUUAUUGCUUAAAUGGUAAAGAAACAGAACAUUUAAUGUUGCUUCUGAGCUUGGUUUUCUAUCUGAUGUAUUGUGCAGGUUUUGAACAAUUUACUUAAGAGCAUUUUCUCUAAGAACUUGAAAUUUGGAGGGUGAAAUACCUUAGAGAGUUGAAAACAAAACUGCUUUGUUAGAAGUUUACAUCUUAUGUAGGUUUUAUCCCUCUAGAUUAUAUUUUCCACUGUUUGUGUUAUCUGUCUUUUAACCCUUAGAAGAUACAUCGCUGUUAUGUUAAAGAC
rnacentral:lncRNA from 1 species